AGGAGCCGUAUGAGAUGAGAAUCUCAUAUGCGGUUCCUGAAAUGGGGAUUCUUUGAAUCGAAUGAUCUAAU
rnacentral:sRNA from 1 species